rnacentral:lncRNA from 1 species
CUCGGGCACCGCAGUGCGCCGGGCCCGAGCGGAGCCGGGAAGAGGCGGAAAGAGCCGAAGGAGAGCGGCGGAAAGAGCCGAAGGGAGGCGGAAAGAGCCGAAGGGAGGCGGAAAGAGCCGAAGGAGGGAGGCGGGAAGAGCCGAAGGAGAGCGGCGGGAAGAGCCGAAGGAGAGCGGAAAGAGCCGAAGGAGAGCGGCGGGAAGAGCCGAAGGAGAGCGGCGGAAAGAGCCGAAGGAGAGCGGCGGGAAGAGCCGAAGGAGAGCGGAAAGAGCCGAACGAGAGCGGCGGGAAGAGCCGAAGGAGAGCGGAAAGAGCCGAAGGAGAGCGGCGGAAAGAGCCGAAGGAGAGCGGCGGGAAGAGCCGAAGGGCGGCGGAAAGAGCCGAACGAGAGCGGCGGGAAGAGCCGAAGGAGAGCGGCGGGAAGAGCCGAAGGGAGGCGGAAAGAGCCGNAGGGAGGCGGGAAGAGCCGAAGGAGAGCGGCGGGAAGAGCCGAAGGGAGGCGGAGGAAAGAGCCGAAGGGAGGCGGGAAGAGCCGAAGGAGAGCGGCGGAAAGAGCCGAAGGAGAGCGGCGGAAAGAGCCGAAGGAGAGCGGCGGGAAGAGCCGAAGGAGAGCGGCGGGAAGAGCCGAAGGAGAGCGGCGGGAAGAGCCGAAGGAGAGCGGCGGAAAGAGCCGAAGGAGAGCGGCGGAAAGAGCCGAAGGAGGGCGGCGGAAAGAGCCGAAGGGAGGCGGCGGGAAGAGCCGAAGGAGAGCGGCGGGAAGAGCCGAAGGAGGGCGGCGGGAAGAGCCGAAGGAGAGCGGCGGAAAGAGCCGAAGGAAGGCGGAAAGAGCCGAAGGAAGGCGGAGGAAAGAGCCGAAGGAGAGCGGCGGAAAGAGCCGAAGGAGAGCGGCGGAAAGAGCCGAAGGGCGGCCCCGGAGCGGAAGCGCAGCGGACCCGCCGCGGGGUCCGGCCAUGCCUUGAAGCGGCUCCGCCGACCCGUCCCGGCCUCUUCCUCCUCCUCCUCCUCCUCCUCGUCCUCCUCCUGCGGCGGGGGAGGCGCCCAUGGGCCGGCCCGAGAGGGGUGAGGGGGACGGAGGCGCUGAACUGGGCUGAACUGGGCUGAACUGGGCUGAACUGGGCUGAACUGGGCUGAACUGGGCUGAACUGGGCUGGGGAAAGCGGCAGCGCGCCGGAAAGAGCCGAAGGUGUCCGGAAAUUGCCGAAGAGGGGGGGGAGGAAGCGGAGCGGGCCGGAAGUGAGCGCAGGGGCGCCGGAAAGAGCCGAAGGUGUCCG